GGGGGUGAAAGGUAUCGACUUAGGCAGGAGGGUAAAGGCUGCAUGCCGCGGAAGCAAUGACGGCCGCGUGAACAAUCAUUGCACAACACAAAUGCUGAUAAAACAUCAGUAUUAACCUUCAACGGGUUAAUGGGAGCUAUGCAGGUAGUAACUCCUAGCCGCCCGUUGAUGGCGCCAGUCUUCGCUCACUAAUCUGAGCGAAGCCUCAAUCUGAUCUGCCUAAGGGUUAGAAUUGAGCACUAAUUUAGGCUGGUUCCUUAUCCUGCCUUGGGAUGAGGGAUGAGAUUUUUAAAGGAUAGUCCAUUUGUAUCCCGCUUACCGGAGCCGGAUGGAUGAGCAAAUAAAAGGUAAUCUACGCAUGUAGUAGUUUUUACGCGAUUGUCUAAGGACGCGGGUUCAAUUCCCGCCACCUCCACCA
rnacentral:tmRNA from 1 species